UACGUAGGGUGCGAGCGUUAAUCGGAAUUACUGGGCGUAAAGAGUGCGUAGGCGGUUCUUGAAGUCCGCUGUGAAAGCCCCGGGCUUAACCUGGGAAUGGCAGUGGAAACUGGGGGACUUGAAUUGAGCAGAGGGGGGUGGAAUGCCGCGUGUAGCAGUGAAAUGCGUAGAGAUGCGGCGGAACACCGAUGGCGAAGGCAGCCCCCUGGGCUUAAAUUGACGCUGAGGCACGAAAGCGUGGGGAGAAAACAGG
rnacentral:rRNA from 1 species